rnacentral:pre_miRNA from 1 species
AUGGCUAAACAUUCAAACAUGUUUGUCAAACAUUGCGUUUGAGGCAAAUGUUUGUACGUUUAGCCA